rnacentral:rRNA from 1 species
AUUGAACGCUGGCGGCAGGCCUAACACAUGCAAGUCGAGCGGAUGAAGGGAGCUUUCUCCUGGAUUCAGCGGCGGACGGGUGAGUAAUGCCUAGGAAGCUGCCUGGUAGUGGGGGAUAACGUCCGGAAACGGGCGCUAAUACCGCAUACGUCCUGAUGGAGAAAGUGGGGGAUCUUCGGACCUCACGCUAUCAGAUGAGCCUAGGUCGGAUUAGCUAGUUGGUGGGGUAAAGGCCUACCAAGGCGACGAUCCGUAACUGGUCUGAGAGGGUGAUCAGUCACACUGGAACUGAGACACGGUCCAGACUCCUACGGGAGGCAGCAGUGGGGAAUCUUGGACAAUGGGCGAAAGCCUGAUCCAGCCAUGCCGCGUGUGUGAAGAAGGUCUUCGGAUUGUAAAGCACUUUAAGUUGGGAGGAAGGGCAGUAAGUUAAUACCUUGAUGUUUUGACGUUACCAACAGAAUAAGCAACGGCUAACUUCGUG